GACGAACGCUGGCGGCAUGCCUAACACAUGCAAGUCGAACGGACGAUGCCCUUCGGGGCAAAGUUAGUGGCGGACUGGUGAGUAACGCGUGAGCAACCUGCCUUUGAGAGGGGGACAACAGCUGGAAACGGCUGCUAAUACCGCAUGAUGCAGCGAGAUCGCAUGAUCUUGCUGCCAAAGAUUUAUCGCUCAAAGAUGGGCUCGCGUCCGAUUAGAUAGUUGGUGAGGUAACGGCUCACCAAGUCAACGAUCGGUAGCCGGACUGAGAGGUCGACCGGCCACAUUGGGACUGAGAUACGGCCCAGACUCCUACGGGAGGCAGCAGUGGGGAAUAUUGCGCAAUGGAGGCAACUCUGACGCAGCAAUGCCGCGUGAAGGAUGAAGGUUUUCGGAUUGUAAACUUCUUUUGUGAGGGACGAUAAUGACGGUACCUCACGAAUAAGCCACGGCUAACUACGUGCCAGCAGCCGACGG
rnacentral:rRNA from 1 species